GGAUCAUUGUCGAAAUCGAACGGAAGAACGACCCGCGAAUCGUCAUUGCGUAGUAGACAGAGCCCGUGAGCACCUAACGCUCAUGGGUCUCGCGUCGCGUCGGCGCGGGUGUACUCGAGACCCGCGUCGUACCGGCGGACAAACAACGUCAGCACGGAUCGUGCCAAGGAGCUGCAUGGAGAGAAUCGUCGUCCCCCGCCUUUGAUAGUCCUCGACGCGGGACGGGGGAUGUACGCAAUCUCUACUCAAAAGUCUAAACGACUCUCGGCAACGGAUAUCUCGGCUCUUGCAUCGAUGAAGAACGUAGCGAAAUGCGAUACUUGGUGUGAAUUGCAGAAUCCCGUGAACCAUCAAUUCUUUGAACGCAAGUUGCGCCCGAAGCCAUUCGGCCGAGGGCACGCCUGCCUGGGCGUCGUGAAUCCCCUUGCCCCUAGGCACCCGCACGAGCAUCGGCGGGGACAUAUGCCCGGGCGCAGAAUAUGGUCUCCCGUGGGAUCGGCAUGCACGGCAUGACGAGGUGCGGUUGGCCGAAAAUCGAGCAUGGCGGUGACGGGCACCACGGCGUUCGGUGGAUCGAAUGAGAUUGGCUGCGUCGUGGGCUCGGCAUGCGGCGGGCUCCGGACUUUGAAUAUCCCCGAGUGCGAUCCCAGGUCAGGCGGGGCUACCCGCUGAGUUUAAGCAUAUCAAUAAGCGGAGGAAAAGAAACUAACGAGGAUUCCCUUAGUAGCGGC
rnacentral:rRNA from 1 species